rnacentral:miRNA from 1 species
AGAGGUUGCCUGUGGCAUGUUC